CGGGCCUAGCUCAGUUGAUGGACCUUCAGCUUCCCACGCUGAGGGUCGCGAGUUCGAGCCUCGCGCAGCCCGG
rnacentral:tRNA from 1 species